UCCAUAACAGCGACUUUGACUCAUGCAGUGUAAAUCAAUGUUUGGCUUGUGUUUGUGGGACUGAGGAUAAACCAGUGGUUGUGGGUCCUUUUCCACAGCAAUGGUUAGUUUGUACAUUUCCUCUUUUCAGCUCCUGGUACGUCCAGCUCAGUGUGUUAGUUUGAUUUCAUGUAGGACACUGUUACAGCUGAUAGGCAGAGCCACACUCGUCUUUUAUUGUGUCUCAGGCUGCAGGUUACUUAUAAUUCAGUUUGUUAAAUAUAAUUAAUGAAGUUAUCUGAAUAUGUUAUCUGUGUCUGUGGUGCAUGUUUGAACCUGUGCAGCCUUUGAGUUUAAACACUAUCUUUACAGUCCACUUACACUCAGACAAACAGCAGCUUCACUGCAUUUAUGUUUGUCUGCUUAGACACAAUCACUGCUGUUUUAGUGCCUCUGCUAAACUGCAGCUUACUCAUGAAAGCUGUGUCUCAGAUGGAUGUUAGUCCAACACAUCAGACACGACCUCUGCAGCUCUCAGUUGAUGUGCACAUGAAUGAUUUGUGUUUCCUCUGCAGGUGAAGGUAGAAAGUGUGUGUGAGCUGAAUUGAGCAGCAUGGAUCAGUGUGAGGACAGAGAGGAGGGAGUCCCUCCCUCUAAAAGCACUCUGUGUGGGGAACAUGAGAGCCAGACCAAAGCUCAGAGGAAGAAACGAGGAACUAAACGCAAACAUGAACCUGAACCCAGCUUUGUGUCCUUGAAGAGUGACUGGUCAGCACAUCGUCCCAUUAAUUUUAAAGUCCAGCCUGUGUCUGCUGCAGAGAGGAACCAACGAGGAACUAAACGCAAACAUGAACCUGAACCCAGAAAGUGUGACAGGUCUAGAAGUCCCCCCAUUGAGUUUAAAGUCCAGCCUGUGUCUGCUGCAGAGAGAGGUCAGAGGUCACAGUCUGCAGGAUCCAGCAGUCUGUCUGUGAGGAGUGAUUACUCUAAAGAGCCACCUCCCGCCUUCAGUGCUGAACCUGGACCAACGAGAGGUCAGAGGUCACAGUCUGCAGGAUCCAGCUGUCCGUCUGUGAGGAGUGAUUACUCUAAAGAGCCACCUCCCGCCUUCAGUGCUGAACCUGGACCAACGAGUUACUUUGAAACAAAGGCAACUACCGGGAUUCUUAUGUAACACACCCCAAGCAAGAGGGCG